AGUGAACGCUGGCGGCAGGCCUAACACAUGCAAGUCGAGCGGCAGCGCGUCCGACCACCCUCGGGUGGUCGGAUGGCGGCGAGCGGCGGACGGGUGAGGAAUACGUCGGAAUCUGCCCAGUCGUGGGGGAUAACUAGCCGAAAGGUUAGCUAAUACCGCAUACGACCGAGAGGUGAAAGCGGGGGACCGCAAGGCCUCGCGCGAUUGGAUGAGCCGACGUCGGAUUAGCUAGUUGGUGGGGUAAAGGCCUACCAAGGCGACGAUCCGUAGCUGGUCUGAGAGGAUGAUCAGCCACACUGGAACUGAGACACGGUCCAGACUCCUACGGGAGGCAGCAGUGGGGAAUAUUGGACAAUGGGCGCAAGCCUGAUCCAGCAAUGCCGCGUGUGUGAAGAAGGCCUCGGUUGUAAGCACUUUAUUCAGGAACGAAAGACGACGGACGUAAUACUACUGUCGUGCUGACGGUACCUGAGG
rnacentral:rRNA from 1 species